rnacentral:rRNA from 1 species
CCGCGAAAGGCUCAUUAAAUCAGUUAUGGUUCCUUAGAUCGUACACAUGUUCACUUGGAUAACUGUGGUAAUUCUAGAGCUAAUACAUGCAAACAGAACUCCGACCGGAGACGGAAGGAGCGCUUUUAUUAGAUCAAAACCAAUCGGCGGCGGCUCCGGUCGUCGUCGUCCAACUUGGUGACUCUGAAUAACUUUAAGCUGAUCGCACGGUCACGCACCGGCGACGUAUCUUUCAAAUGUCUGCCUUAUCAACUGUCGAUGGUAGGUUCUGCGCCUACCAUGGUUGUAACGGGUAACGGGGAAUCAGGGUUCGAUUCCGGAGAGGGAGCCUGAGAAACGGCUACCACAUCCAAGGAAGGCAGCAGGCGCGCAAAUUACCCACUCCCCGGCACGGGGAGGUAGUGACGAAAAAUAACGAUACGGGACUCAUCC